rnacentral:rRNA from 1 species
GACGAACGCUGGCGGCGUGCCUAACACAUGCAAGUUGAGCGACGAACCAGGGCUUGCCCUGGGGCAAAGCAGCGAACGGGUGAGUAACACGUGGGUAACCUACCCCGAUAACCGGGACAACCCGAGGAAACUCGGGCUAAUACCGGAUGUGCUCACUGAACUUCGGUUCAGUGCGUAAAGGAAGCUUCGGCCUCCGUAUCGGGAGGGGCCCGCGGCCCAUUAGCUAGUUGGUGAGGUAACGGCUCACCAAGGCCGCGAUGGGUAGCUGGUCUGAGAGGACGAUCAGCCACACUGGGACUGAGACACGGCCCAGACUGCUACGGGAGGCAGCAGUGGGGAAUCUUGCGCAAUGCGCGAAAGCGUGACGCAGCAACGCCGCGUGGGGGAAGAAGGCCUUCGGGUUGUAAACCCCUUUCAGGAGGGACGAAGGUUCGGCGGUGAAUAGCCGUCCGGACUGACGGUACCUCCACAAAAAGCCCCGGCUAACUACGUGCCAGCCGCCGCAGUAA